rnacentral:rRNA from 1 species
UAUUCUGCCAGUAGUCAUAUGCUUGUCUCAAAGAUUAAGCCAUGCAUGUCUAAGUAUAAGCAAUUAUACAGCGAAACUGCGAAUGGCUCAUUAUAUAAGUUAUCGUUUAUUUGAUAGUACCUUACUACUUGGAUAACCGUGGUAAUUCUAGAGCUAAUACAUGCUAAAAAUCCCAACUUCGGAAGGGAUGUAUUUAUUAGAUUAAAAACCAAUGCCCUCCGGGGCUCCUUGGUGAUUCAUGAUAACUCUUCGAAUCGCAUGGCCUUGUGCCGGCGAUGGUUCAUUCAAAUUUCUUCCCUAUCAACUUUCGAUGUUUGGGUAUUGGCCAAACAUGGUUGCAACGGGUAACGGAGGGUUAGGGCUCGACCCCGGAGAAGGAGCCUGAGAAACGGCUACUACAUCCAAGGAAGGCAGCAGGCGCGCAAAUUACCCAAUCCCGACACGGGGAGGUAGUGACAAUAAAUACUGAUACAGGGCUCUUUUGGGUCUUGUAAUUGGAAUGAGUACAAUUUAAAUCCCUUAACGAGGAACAAUUGGAGGGCAAGUCUGGUGCCAGCAGCCGCGGUAAUUCCAGCUCCAAUAGCGUAUAUUAAAGUUGUUGUGGUUAAAAAGCUCGUAGUUGAACCUUGGGCCUGGCUGGCCGGUCCGCCUCACCGCGUACUGGUCCGGCCGGGCCUUUCCCUCUGUGGAACCCCAUGCCCUUCACUGGGUGUGGCGGGGAAACAGGACUUUUACUUUGAAAAAAUUAGAGUGCUCCAGGCAGGCCUAUGCUCGAAUACAUUAGCAUGGAAUAAUAGAAUAGGACGUGUGGUUCUAUUUUGUUGGUUUCUAGGACCGCCGUAAUGAUUAAUAGGGACAGUCGGGGGCAUCAGUAUUCAAUUGUCAGAGGUGAAAUUCUUGGAUUUAUUGAAGACUAACUACUGCGAAAGCAUUUGCCAAGGAUGUUUUCAUUAAUCAGGAACGAAAGUUAGGGGAUCGAAGACGAUCAGAUACCGUCGUAGUCUUAACCAUAAACUAUGCCGACUAGGGAUCGGACGAUGUUAUUUUUUGACUCGUUCGGCACCUUACGAGAAAUCAAAGUGCUUGGGCUCCAGGGGGAGUAUGGUCGCAAGGCUGAAACUUAAAGAAAUUGACGGAAGGGCACCACCAGGGGUGGAGCCUGCGGCUUAAUUUGACCCAACACGGGGAAACUCACCAGGUCCAGACACAAUGAGGAUUGACAGAUUGAGAGCUCUUUCUUGAUUUUGUGGGUGGUGGUGCAUGGCCGUUCUUAGUUGGUGGAGUGAUUUGUCUGCUUAAUUGCGAUAACGAACGAGACCUUAACCUGCUAAAUAGCCCGUAUUGCUUUGGCAGUACGCUGGCUUCUUAGAGGGACUACAUCGGCUCAAGCCGAUGGA